GGGGGCGUACUGGUUUCGACCUGAUGAAGGCGCCCACGGUGGCAUGCCGAGGAUGGUUCGUUGGCCUCGUUAAUCAUCGGACCAAACAUCAAAUGCUAACGAAGAAUUAGCUCUCGCGGCCUAAAGUGCCGGGACGUUCGCCGCCCGACCCCUGCUGGGGUGGAUGAACGUGACAGCAGGGGUAGGUAAGUCAUGGGGUCUGCGCGUGACGAGCCGAAGCUGAAACAGCGGGCUGGGACCGGUGGAUCGGGUCGGGUCGUCACCAUCGGGCCGAGAAAAAACACCCGACUAAGCAUGUAGUCGCUGUGUGCAAAUUGGUCAGGGACGCGGGUUCAACUCCCGCCGCCUCCACCA
rnacentral:tmRNA from 1 species